AGACAAGGGGUGCUGGCGGAUCGGCCGGCUGAGAGGGAGCCCGCGGCUCUAAACCCUGAACCUGAUCCGGAUAAUACCGGCGGAGGGAUGUUA
rnacentral:ncRNA from 1 species